rnacentral:rRNA from 1 species
GACGAACGCUGGCGGCGUGCUUAACACAUGCAGGUCGAACGGAAAGGCCCUGCUUUUGUGGGGUGCUCGAGUGGCGAACGGGUGAGUAACACGUGAGUAACCUGCCCUUGACUUUGGGAUAACUUCAGGAAACUGGGGCUAAUACCGGAUAGGAGCUCCUGCUGCAUGGUGGGGGUUGGAAAGUUUCGGCGGUUGGGGAUGGACUCGCGGCUUAUCAGCUUGUUGGUGGGGUAGUGGCUUACCAAGGCUUUGACGGGUAGCCGGCCUGAGAGGGUGACCGGCCACAUUGGGACUGAGAUACGGCCCAGACUCCUACGGGAGGCAGCAGUGGGGAAUAUUGCACAAUGGGCGGAAGCCUGAUGCAGCAACGCCGCGUGCGGGAUGACGGCCUUCGGGUUGUAAACCGCUUUCGCCUGUGACGAAACGUGAGUGACGGUAAUGGGUACAGAAGCACCGGCUAACUACGUG